UAACGCGAAGAACCUUACCAAGGCUUGACAUACACGAGAACGGGCCAGAAAUGGUCAACUCUUUGGACGCUCGUGAACAGGUGGUGCAUGGUUGUCGUCAGCUCGUGUCGUGAGAUGUUGGGUUAAGUCCCGCAACGAGCGCAACCCUCGUUCUAUGUUGCCAGCGCGUUAUGGCGGGGACUCAUAGGAGACUGCCGGGGUCAACUCGGAGGAAGGUGGGGAUGACGUCAAAUCAUCAUGCCCCUUAUGUCUUGGACUUCACGCAUGCUACAAUGGCCGGUACAAAGGGCUGUGAUACCGUAAGGUGGAGCGAAUCCCAAAAAGCCGGUCUCAGUUCGGAUUGAGGUCUGCAACUCGACCUCAUGAAGUCGGAGUCGCUAGUAAUCGCAGAUCAGCA
rnacentral:rRNA from 1 species